GGCACAAUGGCAAAAUCGGACGGACUUCUUUUCAAAUACAGAUCUCCGAUGUCCCCCUACAGUCUGCAGUCGCACGGCUGGUGGUGUGGCACAGACGGAGCAAGGGUUACAUCAAGGCUGUUCUCUGGACCGUGCAAACAGUCUAGACCAAUGACCUGCAGCAUCGUGCCCUUUGAAGAAGAGGCAAGUUCAGUCACGACGAAGAAAAAUCAAGGCGUACCCCUUUUAACAAUAGGGAGCAGCUCGUGGCUGCAAAGAGGUGUGCAGCUGCCAUUCUGUCUCAGCAGGACUGUGUUUGCCAUGAGCUGCAGAGCAAGAGGAGCCAACUUUAGGAGAAGGCAUAUUGUGAUACCCUCACUGAUUUCUUUUACAAUGCAUUCUGUUCAGGCCAGUGAAUUUUGCUUAACUGUCCAGUGAAAGAAAAAAUAAAAAUGAAAAAAGAAAAUGAAGAAGUUAAUUAUACCAGAAAUCAACGAAGCUGAACGGCUUCCCGAAGAGCACUGAGUUUUCUAUGCCAGAUUCUGCUCCAGUGGCUAGGACCUUUAUGGCUGCUGUUUCUUUUGCUCUGGGAUCUGAUGGAGAGAAAAAAAAAAUAAAAAAAGCCACGGUGGAUCUUGUCCCUAAAGUAGAAAUUUUCUUUUUCAUUCUGCAAACAAGGCUAAAGAUCGGAGGAGAAUGAAUGCAAAAGUAAUUCAGGACUGUGGUUGUGCCAUUAAAAGUGUUCGGCUUCAGAACAAAAUUAUUCGGGAAAUCCGAGCAUUUCUUCUUACUGUAUCGACAGUAUUUGAAAGUUAUGUGUGCUUUGAGUAAUCUGGUUCAAGUGACAACAAUCUCUGCAUGUCAAUGUUUUCUGCAGCUUAUGGAGUAAAGUAUAGUUUUGCCAUUGGAAAGGAAGAAGCUUUUUGUAGCAGUCUGUAGAAGGAUUAAAUGUUGAACGUGGGGAAGAGGCAAAAAGUGAAUACACGCCCAAAGGUUAUCCUUGCAUCGUGAAUGGGUUUAAAGUACUCUGCAACCCAGGGCCCACCUGAACAGUAGGACUGAAAGUAUAAUGGGGAAAUAUUUCAAUUAGAACCCCCUUGACAAGCAUUUAAUCCUUCUUUCAGGCAUUAAAGAAAAUAUAAUAAAAUUGUUACUGUACAAAGCAGAUUUUAACCCGUUUAUAGAGGCUUCCCUCAGAUGCAUUAUAAUAAUAUGGCUGCUUGCAAGAUGAGGCAGUGAAGAUUUUUUUCCUGUGUUCUUUGUUUUUUCUUUUCAAAAGUUAAGGACUAUACUCUCAGAAAAGUCUGUUCGGUCAGCUGAUACAUUGUUUGAAUGUAUGUAUGCGUCUUGCCUGCUUAUUUGAUCUUUUCUGCCCCCUACUUGAAACUGUGGUUUGUUUAUCUGGGGGGAAGGAGGGGUUGUUGAUUUGGGGGGGAUGUUGUUUUUAGGGGGUUUUUGGGGGGGUUGGUUUUUUUUUUUUUUAACAAUAGCAGUGAAAGUUUUGCUGACAGCGGUUAUGACUACUAAGCAAUUCAGUUUAUUGGAAGACGAAUUCUACUGGACCAUAUCGGACUUUUCCUAGUCCCUGAGACCCUAACUUGUGAGGUUUUUUAGCAACAAUCACAAGUCAGGCUCUUGGGACCUAGGCGGAGGGGAACCAGCAGCUUUGGACUGUGAUUGUUUCUCUGCAGAAUUUAGAGAACCAAAGGAGCUUUCCUUGUCUCGAAGGGUAAAAAGGAAAAGAUACCUAUUUCAAAUGUUAAGCAACACAACUGUUCCUAAAAGAAAAAAGAAAAAAAAAAAUCUAAACAACUGUUAUCCAUUGUACAACAUUAGGAAGUUACAUAUUUAUGUGUUUAGAAAACUGAACUAAAUGCCAUGUAACAUUUAGAAUUAAAAUUUAACCUGAAUACCAGUUUGCACCCAAAAAAAAGCCCAAACAACAAAAACAACAAAAUCCCCCUCUCAAAACUGAUACUAAAAUAUACAAAAGGCUUUCAACCAUGAUGUUACUAUUACUAUUAUAGAAAAUUCUGAUAAUUAUCACAAAGUAUAGAGUCAUCCUGACUGUUGCAGCAUUAACUCUUAAAACAUAAAACAAAAACACUGAUGUUUGAGGCCUAGAAAACAUUCAUUCUAUUGUUUGAAUAAUGAUUUCAGUCUACAGGAAAACUGUUGCUUAGCUUUUCCUGUAACAUGAGACAAAGAGUAUUUUGUAGUUAAUUGCCAUCUUUUUUCUUUGUCCAAGUGAAAACACAAUAUGUCAUUUAAAAUAUUCUCUCAUUUAAUUUACAUUUUAAUCUGAGAUGGAAUAUUGGUUUAAAAAUCAUACUACAGCAUUAAAAUCGCUUUGCACCCAGAAUCACUUUCUUGUACCUGUUCAACUUAAAAUGAGCCACCAGUACUCUAAGUACUAGACCCAGCUUCUAACUUCUCCAUCACUUUUUGCAUUUUUCACCCCUCUGACAAAAAACAGUGUGAGCUUUAGGUUGUCCCUCAUGUGUUAAGUACUUCACUGACUUUGCAUAAGAAGAUUCACAAGCACACGAGGUAUUUCACAAGCACACUGUUCAUUAAACUCAAACUUCCUAUCUACAACACAGAAUAUGAUUUGUAUUUCUUAAUAUUUUAUAGGUGGUGUAGUUCUGAGUAAUUUUUCUCUGUUUCCUGUGUCUAACCAAGAUGCUGCAAGACCUUGUUGAUACAUCAGACUUCACUGAAACAAAGACUUCACACAGAUCAGGCAUCUAAACUAUUUGUUCAUUUCAGAAGUGGUAUUUUGGCUGCAGUAUAUUUUUUCCACUUGCGUGGGAGGAAUUGUGUUUUAUUGUAAGCAUCAACACUAUUGUUAAAAUAAAUGGUUCUUAUCUGUUAGUAUAAUA